CGCGUAGGCGGGUAGAUAAGUCAGAUGUGAAAUUCCGAAGCUCAACUUCGGAGCUGCAUUUGAAACUAUCGAUCUUGAGGGAUGGCGGAGAAAACGGAAUUCCACGUGUAGCGGUGAAAUGCGUAGAUAUGUGGAAGAACACCUGUGGCGAAAGCGGUUUUCUAGCUUAAUCCUGACGCUGAGGCGCGAGAGCAAGGGGAGCAAAACA
rnacentral:rRNA from 1 species